UACGGGGGGGGCAAGCGUUGUUCGGAAUUACUGGGCGUAAAGGGUGCGUAGGCGGGUCUUUAAGUCAGAGGUGAAAUCCUGGAGCUCAACUCCAGAACUGCCUUUGAUACUGAGGAUCUUGAGUUCGGGAGAGGUGAGUGGAACUGCGAGUGUAGAGGUGAAAUUCGUAGAUAUUCGCAAGAACACCAGUGGCGAAGGCGGCUCACUGGCCCGAUACUGACGCUGAGGCACGAAAGCGUGGGGAGCAAACAGG
rnacentral:rRNA from 1 species